rnacentral:rRNA from 1 species
CAGCUCCAUAGCGUAUAUUAAAGUUGUUGCAGUUAAAAGCUCGUAGUUGAACCUUGGGUCUGGCUGACCGGUCCGCCUCACCGCGAGUACUGGUCCGGCUGGACCUUUCCUUCUGGGGAACCCCAUGGCCUUCACUGGCCGUGGGUGGGAACCAGGACUUUUACUGUGAAAAAAUUAGAGUGUUCAAAGCAGGCCUUUGCUCGAAUACAUUAGCAUGGAAUAAUAGAAUAGGACGUGCGGUUCUAUUUUGUUGGUUUCUAGGACCGCCGUAAUGAUUAAUAGGGAUAGUCGGGGGCGUCAGUAUUCAGCUGUCAGAGGUGAAAUUCUUGGAUUUGCUGAAGACUAACUACUGCGAAAGCAUUCGCCAAGGAUGUUUUCAUUAAUCAGGGAACGAAAGUUAGGGGAUCGAAGACGAUCAGAUACCGUCGUAGUCUUAACCAUAAACUAUGCCGACUAAGGGGAUCGGA